GUAAGUGAUCAGCCCUCAUCCAAGUGCAAGAAAACCCUUAGAUAGAACAGAGCUGCAAGAUGCCCUUGUCCUGUGAGAGUUCUUGCUGCCUGGCAGGCACUACAGACCAUUCAGGCCUUAUUAAGGGCCAGGAGUGCUCGUGACCUUUUUUUUUUUAGACUAUGGAGGGCAGCAAGGCCAUCUUGAACCUCUUCAGAGACUUCCCAGAACUGACAGAAAUCGACAGUAGGGCCCAGAUAGUUUAAAGGAGCACGUGUACCUCUCCUGUUGACUCCAGUUCUCCGUCCCCUUGCAAAACUUGUGCACUCCAGAUUUCAGAAACUCAUCCAAGAGAAAUGGGGAAGGAAAGCAUACCAACCAAAUGAUGAAAUCCCUGCGUGCAAUUUACUAAGUUUUUUGUUUAAGGAGGAAAAAGCAAAGCAUUUAAACCAAAGUUGGGAAGUACUGAAAGUGUACUGUGCAUAGGAAUGGCAGUUGUUAAUUCUGCUAAUCAAACCAGUUGCAAACAGGAGUCAAAAGACAGAAGAGUGUCCUUGCACAGGCCCCCCAGGAUGUCGCUGUGUUUCAGAUGGCACUGCAGCAGGGAGUGAUGCUUCAGGCUUUGCCUGCAAGGCUUUAGGACGACACUGAUUGGUGCAAUAUCUCUGUAAGCUGAAAACAGAAACUCAGAGAGAACAACCCUCUCCACAGCCAUGACUGAAACAGAGGAGAGGCAGGAUGAAAGCACAAGACGGUCAGUCAAGCCAAAAAUGUCUACAAAGUUGCAGAGGGAAUUACUGUUGCAUCUGAAAGUCCAAAUCUGAAAAUGACAGAUGUUACUUGUAACCAACAAAGAGAUGCCAAUCUCCAUUCUCAAUCCACUCUGGAACUUGCACAGAAAUGAGGUAAGUCACACCAUGCUGGUAACCACUGAUAGCUC